rnacentral:lncRNA from 10 species
UCACUUCAUUCCCACCCCAGGAACAUCACUGUCCAUGAUGGCAGUCUGCCCGGCAAUCUGGCCUGUUCCCAAGACUGGCGUUUCACUCCUCGAUUGCACCUGUAACCAAACUUGGUGAUCUCCUGCAACUGCUCUACCUCUGGUUUCUCCUAACAUACUACCCACAGCAACCUCAAACAAUGAAGUUUUGUACCAUUAUAGAGUCCUCUUAUUGGAAUGGAUUAGAGGGGAAGGAAGAAACUUAAGUCAUUAUACCAGGAAAAUCAUUCCCUCACUAUUGCAAGAGUUAGGUUUCAUAAUCUGCCUUUCAAAGAGCAAUUACAAAAGCAAUAAGUAAUUUUGUUGUAAGGAUUACAAAUACACCUACAUGAUAAAUUGGGGGCCGGGGAGGAUGGUCCUAAUGUGGUAACUUGGGUCAAACUUGCCAGUGAGUCAGACAUGUAUUUGAGAAGUGCUGCAUCUCAGACAGCUUAGAUGCAAGUGAAGGAGAUACACUUUGAGAAAUGGACUGUAGAUACCAUGAAGACGUUGAUGUCCAAGAUGCAUGUAGAGAGUGAAUAAAAUUGUUACUUGAAAUGUGAGAAUGGGAAAAAAGCAAUAUUUUGUAUUAAUGUAUUAUAUAUAUAAUGUUAUUUUAAAUAUGCAUGUGUAACUAAAGUAAUAAAUUAGAUAUUAUAACUA